GCACUGCUGCUCUGCUGGGACACUGGGCCACUGUUCUCUGAGGUCAAACCGCUACCGGUUCACAGCUCCAGGAAACCUCUCCAGGAAAGCUGCGAGGUCACUGGCAGGCAGAAUGGAUAUUGUUUUGUCUUAUCAGACAGCCUUGGUAGCAGAACAGAAAGUGCUUGCUGGGAAGUAAGCUUCUCAGACUGAAAGGAAAACUAAUGUGAUUUUCUUCAUAGACAACUUUAAUUUUAUUUGUGGUCUGCUUUAUGAUUGUUCCUAGACAUAAAACAUUGAAAGCUUGAAAGGAAAAUCAGAUUUUAGAUGAUAUGAAAAAGAGACUGGAAGCAAUAAGCACUGCUUCAUAAUGGGGUGGAAGAAAAUCUGCAAUGUUACUGGUAAUACAUGAAACUUUUAUGACUGAAAUCAUAUGAUGAAAUUUUGAAGAUACAUAACACAUAAUUUCUGCCCUUUUGCUGUAUACAGAUGACUGAGCAACACUAGA